UGACUCUGAGGACGCAGUACCCCAGCAUGGACCCAGGGAGUCUUGUGUGCUACAAGGCCUGGAGGAUCGGAGAGGCUCUGGGGAUGAAGCCAGACCAGACUCAUUGCAAAGUUAAAUUGCAAGGGGAAAACUUGAUGGAACAUAAAGAACAUGGAGGCCCUCAAGGAGAUCUGUGGACAGGGCGCUGCAUGGCCAUGUGUAUGCACAGACUUCAUUUUCCAUGUCUUCAGGAUUGUUGAAGAAUUUCAGUUUUUAGCUUCCUGGUAACUGGAAGACAAUCCAGGCUGGACCAUUUGCACCAAAGCGAGGAGAGUGAAGGAAUCACCAGAGACAUUUGUUCUACCCAUUCCGACAUUUUGGCUCUUUUGCUUUGCAGGAUGAAUGCACACGGGGGUGCUUACGAUGGAACUAUAUAGAAGAUUUCUGUGCUCAUAACUAUGCUAGUCACCCACUGACUAAUUUGAAAACCCAAACUCAUUUUUAACAGUUAGAUUUCCUAACUGAUUUUCUGCUGAAUAGGUCAAGUUCUAUUUAUACUCUAAGGAAAAUCAUUACUUUUCCAUUGGACAACCUGAAAGAUUAAAACAGACAGUAAUAGUUCUCAAGACUGUGUGCACACAGCUACAACAGUGCAUACUUCUAGCAACAAUAAGGUGCAAUGUCUUUCCUGUAAAAGUUCUCUCUAUAAAUUCAUCAAAGCGUGGCAUGUGAAUGACUUCACUUGCUAGCACACAGCAGACACCCCUGGGGUGAGGUAUAGCACCUAUUUAACAGCACAUGGCAACGCUGCACAGCAGUAGAGGGCCGGAGGUGAAAACCAUGUCUGCAAGGGGAAUCUGAGAAGCCAUUUGAAAUGUCUUUUAUUUGUAAAUGAAUGCCUUCCCUCAAGCUUGGCUCUGAUGCAGAGAUUUUUUUUUCUAGGAGGUUUCUGCUAUUUACCCAACUUUCCAGCUGGGCUUCACUGAGGCACAAAGAGGCAGGACUUGCCUGAGUUUGUACAGUGAGUCAACAGCUCAGCAGGGGAUUAGAGCCCACAAUCCUUUUGGCAUUGCUGCCUUGGUUCUAACCACUGGACCAUGCAGCCUCAUUUUGUUCCUGGUACUCUCUGCUGGUAUGUGGUUUAUCAGGAAAAAGCCUCAAUGUGGUUAAUAAAGGAGGCAUUUUAUAAAGCAGUAAAAUAAGCCUGCUUGGUUCCAGCGUGUCCUGGUGGCUAUGGUAGAGGAGUCAGAAUUUGAACACGUGGCUCUUCCUUACAUUAGUUGAAACAGCAGAUUUCCCGAAGGUUUGGUCGUGAAGAAGUGCUGUGGAAUGGUGUCAUAGCUCCCAUCCAUCCAAAGGCAGCAUGCCAUGUGCAGACCUCCAGAUAACCUGCUGCUGCUGGCCAAGGGACCACUCCAGCACUCAUGCUGUGACUCUGGGGUAAAGGCUGCUACGCCUUGCCUGGUGACAACCAUGACAAGCUGUCGAGGCCUGACUUGCAUAGAAAUGGACAGCAAAGGCAGUCAUGUCAGGCCUUCCCUGCUCCCCUCCUUGCUAUGAAGGAGCCUAAGGCCUUUCCCCUCUGCUGUCCAGGCAGAGAAAUGCUGUAGCAGGCCACCUUCCUCCUUGCCCAGAUCGCCCACUGGCUAUACGGGCUGUGCCCCACUCCAGCUGUUCUGGUGACUUGCCCUUCCAGGUGUCCCGAAUAGACCUGCACUUUUUUAAUUUUAACUUCAAAGGAUCAAUACAGUGACUAAUGGCAGAUACACUACUAGAUAACAGAAGGCAUAUAACAAAAUCCGUGAGCCUAACACACUCUGCCUGAAGCCCUAUGUGAUCCAGCUAGAACUGAGUGCAGCAAGUGUGCAUCAGCCUUUGAUAACAA